rnacentral:rRNA from 1 species
AUGAAGCAGCUCUUCUCCAUGAGCGACCUGGGCCUGCUUCGCUACUACCUCGGCUUGGAAGUGAAGCAGGAGCGUGGACGCACCACCAUCACACAGGCAGCAUACGCCUCCAAGCUGCUUGACAAAACUGGGCUGACGGGGUGCUAUCCAACUCGCACUCCUAUGGAGCCAUGGUGCCUAUUGAGGAAGGAGAGCAAGGAAGCCGCGGUGGACGCAACGCUCUACCACAGCGUGAUCGGCAGCCUGAGGUACCUCGUACACACACGCCCGGACAUUUCGUUCGCCGUGGGUUUCCUGAGCAGGUUCAUGGAGGCGCCGGUAGCAGACCACUAUGCAGCAGUGAAGCACCUCCUUCGAUACAUAGCGGGCACGCUGAGCUACGGCUGCGUGUACCGCUACGGCGACGGCGAGUCCCUGACAGGCUUUAGUGACUCCGAUCACGCCGGCGACGUGGAUACCAAGAAGAGCACUUCUGGCGUGUUGUUCUUUCUUGGUGAAAGCCCCAUCAGCUGGCUAUCUCAGAAGCAAAAGGUCGUCGCAAUCUCAUCUUGCGAGGCGGAGUACAUCGCGGCGGCGACGGCGGCUUGCCAAGGAAUUUGGCUUGCACGUCUCUUCGGCGAGCUGAUGAAUCAACUAGCAGCGCCGUUCUCACUGUUCAUUGACAACAAGUCUGCGAUCUCCCUCUACAAGAACCCAGUUCUCCAUGAUCGCAGUAAGCACAUCGACCUUCGAUAUCAUUUCAUUCAUGAUUAUGUUGAAAAGAGAUGGGUGGCCAUGGAGUUCAUCGGUACAAGGGAGCAGAAAGCAGACAUACUGACGAAGCCGUUGAGCCGUGUUCGCUUCCAGGAGCUGCUUGGCAAGAUUGGGAUCGUCAACGUCAAGCUCGUUCGCCAGGGUUGA